GACGAACGCUGGCGGCGUGCUUAACACAUGCAAGUCGAACGGUGAAGCGAGUGCUUGCACUCGUGGAUCAGUGGCGAACGGGUGAGUAACACGUGAGUAACCUGCCCAUCACUCUGGGAUAAGCACUUGAAACGGUGUCUAAUACUGGAUACGACCAACCCUUGCUUGGGGUGCUGGUGGAAAGAUUUAUCGGUGAUGGAUGGACUCGCGGCCUAUCAGCUUGUUGGCGGGGUAGUGGCCCACCAAGGCGACGACGGGUAGCCGGCCUGAGAGGGUGACCGGCCACACUGGGACUGAGACACGGCCCAGACUACUACGGGAGGCAGCAGUGGGGAAUGUUGCACAAUGGGCGGAAGCCUGAUGCAGCGACGCCGCGUGAGGGAUGACGGCCUUCGGGUUGUAAACCUCUUUCAGCAGGGAAGAAGCGAAAGUGACGGUACCUGCAGAAGAAGCACCGGCUAACUACGUG
rnacentral:rRNA from 1 species